rnacentral:rRNA from 1 species
UGCGUAGGCGGGCAAUUAAGUCAGAGGUGAAAUCCCACAGCUCAACUGUGGAACUGCCUUUGAUACUGGUUGUCUUGAGUUAUAGUGAAGUAGAUAGAAUAUGUAGUGUAGCGGUGAAAUGCAUAGAUAUUACAUAGAAUACCGAUUGCGAAGGCAGUCUACUAACUGUAUACUGACGCUAAUGGACGAAAGCGUGGGGAGCGAACAGGAUUAGAUACCCUGGUAGUCC